UACGGAGGGUGCAAGCGUUAAUCGGAAUUACUGGGCGUAAAGCGUGCGUAGGCGGUUCGUUAAGUCUGAUGUGAAAUCCUGGGGCUCAACCCUGGAACUGCAUUGGAUACUUCCUUGCUAGAGUACUGGAGAGGAAACUGGAAUUUACGGUGUAGCAGUGAAAUGCGUAGAGAUCGUAAGGAAGACCAGUGGCGAAGGCGAGUUUCUGGACAGUUACUGACGCUGAGGCACGAAGGCCAGGGGAGCAAACGGG
rnacentral:rRNA from 1 species